AUCUGCAAAACAGAGGUGAGUAAUAUCUAACUUGGAGCAUCUAGGAUGAUAUUUAAAGGAUUUAUCAGUUUGCAGGGUCUUUAAAGUUCUACUGAGGUAUUCCAUUGAGAUAGCAAAAAGAAAGAGGGGUAAAGGGUCACCUUGUCUAAGUCCCUUGGCAGCCUCAAAUGGGUGUGUUUUAACUCCAUUAACCACAAUUUUAUAAGUGACAGUUUUAACACAAGCCAUCACCCAUUGUAUAAACAAAUAAGUAAAACCUAAUUCCUGCAUGACUUGUUCCAGGUAGGGCCACUCAACUGAGUCAUAAGCUUUUUGAAGAUCAAACUUAAGCAUGCAUCUGGUUGAGAUAUUUUUCCUAUGAUAAGCUUUCACCAAUUCGUGGGCCAUAAUAAUGUAUCUAAUAUUUUCCUUCCUGGAACAAAACCAGCUUGAGUAUUGCAGACCACAGAACCCAGCACAUCAUGAAGUCUAUUUGCUAGAAUCUUAGCAAUGAAUUUGUAAAGAGUAGAACCACAGGCAAUGGGUCGGAAUUCCUUUACAUUACCUGGGCAUGAUACUUUUGGGACAAGAGUAAUUAGGGUGCAAUUUAUGGGUUUAUAAAGCUGACCAGUUCUGAAGAAUUGCUUGACUGCAUUGAGAACAUCCUUCUUUACAAUCUGCCAAGUGUGCUUGAAGAAGUGAGCAUUAUACCCAUCUGCCCUGGAGCUUUGUCAUUUCCUAUAACAGUCAUACCAGCCUCUAUUUCCUCAUCAGUAACAUCAACACAUAAAGAUAUUCUCUAUAGUCUAGAUAGGAUUGGUCCCUGCUUCAUAAGAUGGGAGUCCACUGCAAGUAAGUUUGAAGCAGCAGUCCCCAUUAAGCUCUCAUAAAAGCUUACAAAUUCCUCUUGAAUGUUGGCAGGACCAUGGAGUUGUUGGCCUGCCAAAGAGGUUAGGGUUGUCACUUGUUUCCUGUUAGUUCUCUCCUUGAUAAUACCAUGAAAGUCCUUGUUGCUCGCAUCCCCUAAUUUAAUCCGGUGAGCUCUAGACUUUUGUUUUAAAGCACUCUCUUCUAUAAGGGACCAUUUCUCCAAGUUCAUCAGCAGUUCCUUUUCUUGGUCAAUCAGUACAUCAGUUGUUUGCCUAGCCAGUUGUUGUUGAAUUCUCUGCAAAGUAAUUCUAGCUUCCUCAAUCUUCCUUGUGAUAAAUUUAAAUUCAUUGCUGUUCAGUUUUCCCAGGAGAGGUUGCAGGGCAUGUAGUUUCAGCCAUACAUUCUUCAUAUUACAAUUAGCAUAUCUUUUCCUCCAUAUAGUAGUCACAAUGUCUGAGUAAGAUUCAUGCUCAGUCCACACAUUAAAGAAUUUAAAUGAAGCAACAUCCUUUGCCUGAUUACUUUGCAUAGUCAUGAUCAUGGGGCAAUGAUCGGAUAUAAAAGGACAACCAUAUUCAGUGUUGAUGUGGCCCCAUUGCAUCAUCCAUUCAGAGUUUCCAAAGGCUCUAUCAAUUCUACUAGCAAUCCUGGCAUUCCCAUGUUGUUUAUUUGUCCAAGUAUAGUAUUCACCUUUCCAAGGAAGAUCAUAGACCCCUUUGCUCCUCACACUGUCAGCAAACUCGUGUAUCAGUAAGUGUAACAGUAGCUCCUGCUAGUCUGUCUUGCGGACCUAGCAGAGCAUUAAAAUCACCAGCUAGAAGCCAAGGUUGGCUGAUCCCAGGGGAAAUGUGUGCAAGUUCAUCCCAAAGAGUUCUUCUUAAUUCAAUAGUAUUAAACCCAUAUAUAACAGUCAGUAGAAACAGGAGAUCCAUACUUCUGUCCUGGACCAGACAUUGUAGAAGCUGUGAUGAGGUCUGAAGUUUGAUAACAUCAUAAAAAUUUUGGUCCCAGAGUAGCCAUAUUCUACCAUUGCUUGCAUCAUCAUAGUUGUGCAGUAUCCCCCAGCCUGGUGCAAUGCAUUUAGCAAUACUCUGCAUCUUAUUCUCCUUUAUUCAAGUUUUUCUAUGAGCCCAGCAAGCCUAAUAUUAUGAACCUUCAGAACUUUAUUCAACUCUUUUUGUUUAUACCUCUUAUUAUCCCCUAUAAUGUUCCAGAAUAAGCAACUCGUUUAGAAGGUACUAGGGAUUCCUCCUCUAUCAGUGGUAGGGAGGUCAAUUUAAUUUCACUCAGACUCUCGAAACCAUUCUUUAUAGGAAUAGCAGCUAACACAGGAAAAAUUUUCAAAUAAAGGGUGGGGCUUGGCCACACUACAUUGGGCUUCAAAAUAUACCGAUCUUCUUCAAUCGCCUUAGCCUCUUGUUGAAUUGCCUGUGCAGGUUGCUUUGGCAGUUAGUGUUACUUUGUAGAUUAGCUGUGAAUUCUUUCUCUGCAGGUAGCUGCUCUGUUGAUUGAGGCUGAGGUUACAGGGGUCCCUUGUAAUGAUAUUCUUGUACUAUCGUCGCUCGUUUUCUUCUUCUAGGAGCUUCAGCUGGAGCCUUCUUAACAACUGGAGGUGCACAUACAUGUCCAAUCUUCUGGCAUUUCUCACAAAAUUGAGGCCUCCAUUCCAAAACUACAGGUUGUACAAAGGUUUUACCACCCGGAUCUUAAACAGUGAUGUCGUGGGGUAUAGUCUUAGUAACAUUCAUCUCUACAAGCAAUCGUGCCUAAGAGAUUCGGGUCUGCUUAGUGGUACACUCAUCAGCUAAUAAAGGGGUACCCAGUGCACUCGUUAUUCGGCUUAGAGAACCCAAACGCCAACAGUUAAGAGGCAAAUUAGGGAAUUUGACUCUCAAAGGGAUUUCAGCUAAAAACUCUUUACUGAAAUCAAAAUUUGCGCUCCACGGUUUCAGAACAAUUGGUCGAUUAUUGAUCGAAAAUGGUCCAGUGGAUAGGAUAGUGUCCAUAUCACUCUUCUGCUGGAAUUUGACAAUGUAAUAUUCCUCUUCAUGUAAAAAUAUCUCUGGUUCUGCUACAAUUGACCAAUUUUGAGUAAUAUACUUGUUCAUGGUGUUAUAGCCCGGACAAUCACCAAUAACGUAUGUAAUAAGCGAGGAUCUCCACUUUUCUUUUUCAGCCUGAACAUCCCCCGCGUCUAAUUGAAACCCACUACGACCCUCCAAACUCAUCCAAUUUGAUGCAAUCUGAUUGUUUUUAAAAAUACUAACUUGCAUUUUCUUACUUAGCAGCUGCAUAUUCUUCUUCCUCAGUAGCCACACCAGUUAUCACUGUUUCAGUAAGCUUACCAUUAUCAGAUCUGGUAUGUCCCUCAGAUGGCGCAACAAUUUGUUUCUCACUGGUUAUCGGGGGGUUACGCUUAGGUUUAGCCUUCUCGACACAUCACUUUGUGAUGAGGUUCCCUCAGCUAUAUUCACAUUUCGUGGACUCUGCUCGUCAAUUUGAGAUUCUGCUUCCUUGGUUGUAUCCUUCUUUCGAGUUCUCACCGAGCUUCCAAAUUUGACUAGAGUGUUUUUCCGACCUCUUCCUCAGCCUCUUCCCCUCCUCUUCCCCUCGCCAUAGCUUCACUUCUCAGCACCGAAAGACUAAUGCGCCCAGUGCUAGAGAGAGAGUUUCCAU
rnacentral:lncRNA from 1 species